rnacentral:lncRNA from 1 species
GUCCCAGAGGUAUCCAAACUAAAAUCUCUGGCAGGUGGUGAUACUGGUGGGUCUAUCUCUUGUGUCUUUAGGUUUGUCUUGGGACCAGACAUAAGGUGGCUCAACAUCAGACCCUUGCCGUGAACAGCUCACGAUCCCAACCACUGGCAAAUUACUGCUUUGGUUGCAAUGGAUGGUCCAAAAGGGUAAUCGAGGACUGUUGUCAUUCCUCAUGAAAAGGAAGAUGGCCCAGAAGCCUGCUCUUUGGAUGGUUUUGUCAGAUGUACUCCAGAAACUGUCAGUUGUGGUUUAGAAGAAAUUCUUCCCGUAAGAGAAGAGGACUACAUAACAUGUGUGAAGAUAAUCCAGAAAUGGUCUCUUCUAUGUGUGUUCCUGCCUCUGAAGACUUUCCAGUGGGACCGAUAGAGGUGGAAACCAGUGAUAGUGAUGAACCUGGCCAUACACUCUUGAGGGUUUCCAGCAUCACUUUUCUGUAGAGAUUCUUCUUGAAAGGAUCAAGCAAAGACCACUCCUCCUGAGUGAUGUUCAAAGCCAGAUCCUCAAAGGCCACUGACACCUAACACACUCCGCUUCCCGACUCCUGUAGUUCUCCUGGCAUCCUCCCUACAGCUCCUGCAGCCAAUGGAAGUCACAGUGCCACUAAGUGGUCUGCAUCCCACCGGGCCUUGGACACCUUGACUUCUUGCUGCUCCCUGAGAAGCUUCAUCAGGAGGCCCGUUUUGGAGAUGGGCUUGGCACAGGGCAGUUGCACAUGGGCCUCAUUCAGAGCAGUCCAUUUUUAAACACCAGAUGACUUCGGAAAUCAGCCUUCUUAUGUCAUUGGACAUAAUGGCUGGAGUUACUGGUUUAGGGUGCUUUCUAAGGAAGGUUCUGAAUGAGCAUGUAAUUCUGAGACACGAUUCUGCUGAAAACGCAAGUCUCUUGAAGAUGAGAACUGUUGUGAAGGGGAACUGAUGAGACUCCUCGCUGCCAAAACAGAGGCCUCCUCGCAAGCAUUGGUCCGCUGCAUGUAUUUUCCUUUCUCAACUUUUCACUCAGUUUGGCCUUGGGUGUUCCGUGGGCCAUAAGAGAAUGCGUUUUAUGAAAGCAGUGAUUUGGGGGGGCGGGUAAGAUUGGUUUAGUACACUUCAUAGUUUUCGCUCUGGCAUAUGCAUCUUCUAACAUCAACACACUGUAGACAAAGUAAUUUGCCCUGUUUCUCACCUUAGGCAGGGCUUUGGCAGGGAUGGAGG